UAUUAAACAAUAACGUUAAUCAACAUAAUGCACAAGAGAAUGUGCUUUUGAAAAUAGUAAAACAUUAAUAUCUUUAAAUAAUGUCAAUAUGUAAUGUGAAAAAAUGAGUUGAGAAUGAGUUUGAGAAUUCACUUGAGUACUUUCGUGAUAUUGUGGCCAGGAUUCAUAAACAUGAGGCUGCACUUAAGUGGGCCUGGCCAGGGAUACAGCAAAGAAUGUUCUAAAUUCUAUCUAAGAUUGAUAUAGCUAAUUGGAUUGCUUGAUAAUGAACGUUAACAAUGAAUGAUAAUGCUCAAUAUUUUUUUUCUAAAUUGGAGUUAAGAUUGAUGUAACUAAUUGGAUUGCUUGAUAAUGAACGUUAACAAUGAAUGAUAAUGCUCAAUAUUUUUUAUUCUAAAUUGGAGUUAAGAUUGAUGUAGCUAAUUGGAUUGCUUGAUAAUGAACGUUAACAAUGAAUGAUAAUGCUCAAUAUUUUUUUUUCUUAAUUGGAGUUAAGAUUGAUGUAGCUAAUUAGAUUGCUUGAUAAUGAACGUUAACAAUGAAUGAUAAUGCUCAAUAUUUUUUGUCUAAAUUGGAGUUAAGAUUGAUGUAGCUAAUUGGAUUGCUUGGUAUAGAUAACCAACCUAUACAAUGAAUGAAAUUAAUGAAAUAUUACCAGAUUAAAGACCACUACAUGAGCUUGUAUAUUAUAUAUGCGAUCAAGAUUUACUUUAGCACAUUGUCUAUUUAGAUGAUACAAAGCCUGGUCAGUGUCCGUAGAAACGCGGACGCGGCAGUGCUUGUAGAUCUGUGCAGCCUAAAUUUGGACAAUAUCGCGGAUGAAGUCGAAGUGAAGUUACAAACGACGUGAACCUCAAGAACUGUAACUCAUGUUAUGGAGCAUAUUACUUUGUUAGGUUUUCUGUCUUGUAAUAAAUGACAUAUUUCAGGUGUAUUUCAAAUUUAGCACUAUAACAAUGAUGUCUUAGAUGUCGUGUAUAAUUAUCACUUAAAAAUAGCAAACUGAUACAAUUUCAAUGCACGCAAGGUAUUUAAUAUAACAUUGAUAGUAACGAUGAACAAUAAAUGCUUAACAACAGUCGUGUGUUCUUUUAAUCAAUGUGUACCUACUUGUAAGUAUGCAAACUUGUCCCUUAGUCAGCAGUUGUCGACUUUAUUUUUCCAUUUAUUUAUCAUAAUUAGUAAUGUUGAAACAGAUAAAUCGAUUAUACUUGCUAAUUGUUGAUAUUAUAGGAACACCUUUUAAUGAUAAUGAAUUCUUUAUUAAGAAUUGUUGGGAUAAGAGUGAGGUUUGUGCACAUAAACUGGUUUAAACCCACAGUAAAUUUACAUUUUACUGACUGUUCCAAGGCGGUACCUAAAAAUUCUUGAUAAACAUACCAAUUAUAUAUAUAUAGUAUUUAUGCACUGUGCUGUUUGUAGAGUUGUGUGCUGUUCUAUGUUUCUUGUUUGUGAAUUUGUGUUCUAUGUCUUUGGCGUUGCCCAUUGCCACUAAACCGGGUUUAUGUUUAAACUUUUUGCUACUGAGCAUGUUUCUGUUGCUUUUUGCAUAUAUAUUGAAUUAAAAUCAAAAUGAAAGUCUUAUUUCUUGUAACUGUUCUAACGGUGUUAGGAGUUUAUUGCCAGGAGUCUCAAAAUUAUGUGGAAAGAGGUAAGACAUAAUUGUUACAAAUACUAGAAGGCUAACAUUUGAAUAUCUUACAUUUCAAAACCCAACGUUUAAAUAACUAAUAUUUGCAUACAUGAAGCUAACGUUUUAAAUAGCUAACAUUCAAUUAGUAAACACGUCGGUAUCAUUUACAGAUAUUAUUCAAAGCAUUCCAAUCAUCAUUAAUAACACGUACAACACUUCAGUUAUUUGCAGUCGACUUAUAUAGUUCAUAUAAUUCUUAUUUGUUUAUUCAGAUAAAGUCAAUACAACUCUACUCUAUAGUUUUACACAGUGCUCUUUAAUUGAAAUCAAAAGACUGAUGAGAGAUGGUAUAUACAAAAGGAAAUAAAUCGCGUUCAUCCGUUCAUGAUAUAGUGUACCGGUCGCUACGUGGGGUAGAGCAUUGUUGUCUUGAAUAAUUCUUCGCUUAGUGGGGUAGAAUACGAGCGGGGUAGAUAACUUGUAUCCGGAACAGCGUCCCGCUACGCGGAGAAGGACUCGUAUGCCAGUAAGCGUGCCCCGCUAGGUGGGAUAGAACACACAGUGCCUUAAUGUAUUAAAUGUUUCGCCAGAAAUAUCUGAUAGUUGGUUGACUGGUUGGGGAGUAACUUAGAUAGAAAGUCUUUCGAAACGUAUGUACGUAAAUCAGAGCAAUACACAUGGGAACAAUUCUUAGUGUAAUGCAUGUGAAACCUUUGUUUAAAAUGAAAUAUCCAUUUUGUUGUUUCUGUUUAUGCUCAAUAACUGUAAAACAUGUGAUUAUGAUUGAAAACUUAUCUUAACAUUUAGUAUAAGUCUGCCACACUUUUGGUACAUGUUAAGUCAACAAAAACAAACGCGCAAAAAUAUUAUAUAUAAUAUAUGUAUAUAUAUAAAUAUAUAAUAGUUCAUAUAAAUAUUUUCAAGAAUGAGCAAUAAUAAAGAAAUAGGUGAUGCAGCUCUUUUAAAAUCGCUGACUUACUUUGAUCGCUUUUUUAACAAUAUUUUUGUAUAUAUCAAACAACAGUUGAUAUUCCUAUCAUCCAUCAAUUAACAUGAAAUAGCGUUCAUACAUAGUUAUAAAAUAGUUAUUUAUAUGCAAGAUGGGCUGGAGUCAUUACCGCCCAGUUCAUCGAAUGUGUUUCUUACAACUGGAUCAAGCUCAGCACACUAUUUAUACUUAGGAAUAUAGUAUUCAAUAUAAAUACUGAUGUGAAAAAUUACAGAAACAAGCUCAGUAGCCAAACGUUUAAACAUAAACCCCGUUUAAUGGCACAGGGUAAAAGCCACAGACAUAGAUCAUAAAAACAAAAACAAACAAGAAACAUGAAAUAACAGCACAAAACUCCACAAACAACACAAAGCAAAUAUUUUAUCUAGAAAACUAGGUAUGUUUAUCAAGAUUUGUAAGGUACUGCCUUGGAACGGUCAGUAAGUGUCUUGGGAUCUGAUAGGAUUUGUGUUUAAGAUAUUAACGAUAAACUCUUGUUUACUUGCAUACCUAAACAUAAGAAGCUUUGCUAUGUAAACUAUAACUAUAAUGCGUGCUGCUUUGGCAUUUUGGAUUAUAUCGAGUCUCACGGUGACCGCUCGCUGUGCCUUGGCUUCAAAGUCCAGGCGGGGCUCAGCCACAGCAAACCCUGUUCAAUAAGUUAUCUUUCAUUCCAUGUUGGUAAAUUUGCAGCUGGUCGACAUGUAUUUUGAAUCAAUGUCUAGGCGUUGCGGUAAAAAUGAAGAACCCUUGGCAAUGAUGUCCAUCUUGUUUUCUAGGUGAAACUUUAUGUGACCGAAGUGCAUGCGACUGGCCUGUUUGUCCUGGAGGAGAGCGGCCGCAAAGGUACAGUGGUCAAUGUUGUCCUUCUUGCCCGCCUCCCGUUGGUCCCGAUUGCUCAAGGACAUUCUGCACACUGGACAUAAAGAUCUGUGCGGACGGGCGGCCAGCUCCUGUCCCAUCUGGAGAAUGUUGUCCACGAUGCAUCGACCCACCAAAUGGCCAAAAGCCUGGUCAGUGUCCACAGAGACGCGGCAGUGCUUGUAGAUCUGUGCAUCCUGAAUGCAACGGAGAUUACUCUUGUCCCGAAAAUCAAAAAUGCUGCACUAACGGUUGUGGACGCCGAUGCACUAGACCUUUGUUUGUGGGACAAUAUCGCAGAUGAAGUCGAAGUGAAGCUACAAACGACGAGUACAUCAAGGACUGUAACUCGUGUUAUUAAUCAUAGUGUUUUAUUAGGGUUUCUAUGUCGUAAUAAAUUACAUAUGUAAGGUGUAUUUCAAAUUUAGCACUAAAACAAUAUUGUCUUAAAUGUUAUUUAUAAUUAAAGCUUAAACAAUAGCAAACUGAUACAAUUUCCAAUUCACUCAAUGUAUUUAAUAUAACAUUUAUGGUACAGAUGAACAAUAAAUGCAUUACAACACUCA